rnacentral:tmRNA from 1 species
GGGGAUGUAAAGGUUUCGACGGGGAUUGUGAGCCAAGAUUUGCAAGUAGAGGUGCGAAUACUCUUAAAAAAUCGUAUUUUAUAAAUUAAAUAACAAUAAUUUAGAACAAGCAGCUUAAAUUAGCUGCCGUCUCUACUAAGAAUACCGCGGCUUUUUAGGGGCGUCAUUUAGCGGUGAACGUGAAUUUUUGAGUUUCUCGGCUUUUAUUCAUGAAUUAGAGAAUACCAACGUAAAAAGCCUGUCAACUGGCGUUUUUCAGCGGGAAUUUUAAAAAAUUGACUAUACUUGUAGACGGUUUUGGUAAAUGGUUUUCGGACAGGGGUUCAACUCCCCUCAUCUCCACCA